UCCCUGAUAGCUUAAUUGGUAAAGAAUCUGCCUUAAAUGCAGGAGACCCCAGUCGAUUCCUGGGUUGGGAA
rnacentral:tRNA from 1 species